rnacentral:lncRNA from 1 species
UUAAAGUUCUAUCCAUUAAAAUAGGUUUGGGACCGGUUUGACAGAAACAUGCUUUGAUGCAUAAAUAUUUAGCAUGGAGGUUAAUAUAAUAAGCAACAUGCAUGGAGGUUAAUAUACUUUCUAGUUUCUAUUGUAAGCAAACUUCAAGCAGAGGCACCAAAAUAUCAGGACACCAGAAACUCCAAGUGAGGGUAAAAUGGUCAAUAUAAGGAAAACACUCCCCACAGCAAUCUUGGCAACAAACAGCAAAUUCAGAAAAUCCAAGUGAGGGUAGUUUUUUUCCCAGGUAACUUUUUUGUCCCCUGUGUGUUUUUAACUUAGCUAUUUUCAGCUUUAUGUGUCUUUUUAAACUUUGUGUUUUGUGUAUUGUUUAUAUUCAAGUAGCUGCAGAAAGCACAUUAGAGUGGGAUUUCUUCUUCUUUAUGUCCCCUGUAACGAGAAUCAAGACACAAACAGUGGCGGAUUUAGUGCAUCACAAGUGGGGUUUUGAUCCGGUUUGUAUACAGUUUCAAUCUGAUCAGGUUUCAGCUUAAACCGGUUUUGAGUUUGUUGACUUAAACCCAACUGGUAUUAAAACCGAUCCAAUUUCCAAAAAGAACCUGUUUGUGUACCUCUACAUUUAGGUGUUAAACAAAAUUGGCAAAUUCGUUUCCAUUUAUUAAUUUCUUAUUAAACCUAUAAAAAACAGAUUUCUCAAUCUCUG